AUACGGAGGUCCCAAGCGUUAUUCGGAAUCACUGGGCGUAAAGAGUACGUAGGCGGUUUGGUAAGUCAGGUGUGAAAUCCCGGAGCUCAACUCCGGAACUGCAUCCGAUACUGCCAGACUUGAGUAAUGGAGAGGCAGGUGGAAUUCUCGGUGUAGCAGUGAAAUGCGUGGAUAUCGAGAGGAAGACCAAUGGCGAAGGCAGCCUGCUGGACAUUUACUGACGCUGAGGUACGAAGGCUAGGGGAGCGAAAGGGAUUAGAAACCCCAGUAGUCC
rnacentral:rRNA from 1 species